CCGGAGGAAAAGAAACUAACAAGGAUUCCCCUAGUAACAGGCGAGUGAAGCGGGAAGAGCUCAAAUUUGAAAUCUGGUGGCCUCAGGUCAUCCGAGUUGUAAUCUAUAGAAGUGUUUUCCGUGCUGGCUCAUGUACAAGUCCCUUGGAACAGGGCGUCAUAGAGGGUGAGAAUCCCGUCCUUGACAUGAACUACCAGUGCUCUGUGAUACAUUUUCAACGAGUCGAGUUGUUUGGGAAUGCAGCUCAAAAUGGGUGGUAAAUUCCAUCUAAAGCUAAAUAUUGGCGAGAGACCGAUAGCGAACAAGUACCGUGAGGGAAAGAUGAAAAGCACUUUGGAAAGAGAGUUAAACAGUAUGUGAAAUUGUUGAAAGGGAAACGAUUGAAGUCAGUCGUGCUCUUUGGAUUCAGCCGGUUCUGCCGGUGUACUUCCUUUGAGUGGGGUCAACAUCAGUUUUGAUCGCUGGAUAAAGGCUGGAGGAACGUAGUACCCUCGGGUAAACUUAUAGCCUCCUGUCACAUACAGUGGUUGGGACUGAGGAACGCAGCACGCCUUUAUGGCCGGGAUUCGUCCACGUACGUGCUUAGGAUGUUGACAUAAUGGCUUUAAACGACCCGC
rnacentral:rRNA from 1 species